rnacentral:rRNA from 1 species
GAUGAACGCUGGCGGCGUGCCUAAUACAUGCAAGUCGAGCGAACAGACGAGGAGCUUGCUCCUCUGACGUUAGCGGCGGACGGGUGAGUAACACGUGGAUAACCUACCUAUAAGACUUGGAUAACUUCGGGAAACCGGAGCUAAUACCGGAUAAUAUAUUGAACCGCAUGGUUCAAUAGUGAAAGACGGUUUUGCUGUCACUUAUAGAUGGAUCCGCGCCGCAUUAGCUAGUUGGUAAAGUAACGGCUUACCAAGGCAACGAUGCGUAGCCGACCUGAGAGGGUGAUCGCCCACACUGGAACUGAGACACGGUCCAGACUCCUACGAGAGGCAGCAGUAGGGAAUCUUCCGCAAUGGGCGAAAGCCUGACGGAGCAACGCCGCGUGAGUGAUGAAGGUCUUCGGAUCGUAAAACUCUGUUAUUAGGGAAGAACAAAUGUGUAAGUAACUAUGCACGUCUUGACGGUACCUAAUCAGAAAGCCACGGCUAACUACGUG